UACGUAGGGGGCAAGCGUUGUCCGGAAUUAUUGGGCGUAAAGAGCGUGUAGGCGGCCAGAUAAGUCCGCUGUGAAACUCGAGGCUCAACCUCGAGACGUCGGUUGAAACCGUACGGCUAGAGUCCGGAAGAGGAGAGUGGAAUUCCCGGUGUAGCGGUGAAAUGCGCAGAUAGUCGGGAAGAACACCCGUGGCGAAGGCAGCCCCUGGGUCAAACUGACGCUCAUGCACGAAGCGUGGGAGCAACAGG
rnacentral:rRNA from 1 species